GACGAACGCUGGCGGCGUGCUUAACACAUGCAAGUCGAACGGAGCGAAUGAAAGCUUGCUUUUAUAAGCUUAGUGGCAAACGGGUGAGUAACACGUAGGCAACCUGCCGACAGGAUGGGGACAACAUUCCGAAAGGAAUGCUAAUACCGAAUGAAGUCAGAGAAGGGCAUCCUUUUCUGAUGAAAGAUGGCCUCUAUAUAUAAGCUAUCACCUGUCGAUGGGCCUGCGUCUGAUUAGCUGGUAGGUGAGGUAACGGCUCACCUAGGCGACGAUCAGUAGCCGGUCUGAGAGGAUGAACGGCCACAUUGGGACUGAGACACGGCCCAGACUCCUACGGGAGGCAGCAGUGGGGAAUCUUCCGCAAUGGGCGCAAGCCUGACGGAGCAACGCCGCGUGAGUGAAGAAGGUCUUCGGAUCGUAAAGCUCUGUUGAUGGGGACGAACGUGCC
rnacentral:rRNA from 1 species